CUCUUUUUGGUUUAUAAGUGGGGUGAUUAGGUAGUCACACAGUUGAGUGGCAUGUGCCUCCCUCAGAUCUUAUUCUGACAUUGGCACAUUAUGCAUCUUGUGAAC